CAUGGUACACAGUUUUUCUAGUCAAGGAGAGUGUGUCUGAAUUAGACAGUGGACUAGGAUUACUCCAGUGGAAACUAGGACCCAGGAGAUUUCCUCCUCAUCUCAGGAGAGAGGGACACCGGGACAUGGAUUCAUUAAAGAAGAUUCUCUAGUGAUUUCUACAUAUACAGGUCAAGGGGGGAGGCUGAAAUUAGGGCCCAUUCACACCAAGAUAACAACAUAUAGAACUUCAGUUUGUCAGCAGGCUUUGUAUAUCAGACCAUCUCAAACGCUUAAAGGUCCAUGCCAUCUGAUCGUGAGGAUUGACCAGUAGACAGUACUAUCCUUAAGGCGCACACUCUCCCAGAGAAUGAAAUUCAU